UACGUAGGGGGCAAGCGUUGUCCGGAAUCAUUGGGCGUAAAGCGCGUGUAGGCGGUUCGGUAAGUCUGCUGUGAAAGUCCAGGGCUCAACCCUGGGAUGCCGGUGGAUACUGUCGGACUAGAGUACGGAAGAGGCGAGUGGAAUUCCCGGUGUAGCGGUGAAAUGCGCAGAUAUCAGGAGGAACACCGGUGGCGAAGGCGAUUCUCUGGGCAUUACCUGACGCUGAGGAGCGAAAGUGUGGGGAGCGAACAGG
rnacentral:rRNA from 1 species